CGAGUGCUUGCACUCAAUUGGAAAGAGGAGUGGCGGACGGGUGAGUAACACGUGGGUAACCUACCCAUCAGAGGGGGAUAACACUUGGAAACAGGUGCUAAUACCGCAUAACAGUUUAUGCCGCAUGGCAUAAGAGUGAAAGGCGCUUUCGGGUGUCGCUGAUGGAUGGACCCGCGGUGCAUUAGCUAGUUGGUGAGGUAACGGCUCACCAAGGCCACGAUGCAUAGCCGACCUGAGAGGGUGAUCGGCCACACUGGGACUGAGACACGGCCCAGACUCCUACGGGAGGCAGCAGUAGGGAAUCUUCGGCAAUGGACGAAAGUCUGACCGAGCAACGCCGCGUGAGUGAAGAAGGUUUUCGGAUCGUAAAACUCUGUUGUUAGAGAAGAACAAGGACGUUAGUAACUGAACGUCCCCUGACGGUAUCUAACCAGAAAGCCACGGCUAACUACGUGCCAGCAGCCGCGGUAAUACGUAGGUGGCAAGCGUUGUCCGGAUUUAUUGGGCGUAAAGCGAGCGCAGGCGGUUUCUUAAGUCUGAUGUGAAAGCCCCCGGCUCAACCGGGGAGGGUCAUUGGAAACUGGGAGACUUGAGUGCAGAAGAGGAGAGUGGAAUUCCAUGUGUAGCGGUGAAAUGCGUAGAUAUAUGGAGGAACACCAGUGGCGAAGGCGGCUCUCUGGUCUGUAACUGACGCUGAGGCUCG
rnacentral:rRNA from 1 species